rnacentral:lncRNA from 1 species
CAAAGAACUGGACCACUCUAGUGGUUGCCACGGAGACAGUAUGGAGCAUCUCAGGCAGAGCCUGUUUAGACAUUGACGUCAUUGUGGGUAGGACUAGUUAGUUCCUUAGUGCCUGGAAGGGAUAGGGCACAGCAAUGCUAACCAUUACGCCUUUUUUUUUUUUUUUUGGAAGGUGGAACCUCGGGAAAAUAGAAACAGAGCGGCCAGCCGCAUUCUGGGAAUUGUAGUUUUAACUCUCCGGCGCAGGCGCACUCCACCCUCAGCCUGGGCAGCACGGAGGGAGCUCAGGGGCUGGUCCGUUCGCUUCCAGAAUCAGUCUCCAGCCCUAGGUAUGGUCUGCAGGAACCCAUCCUGGAGCAUUAAAGUAAGGAUCUUCUACUUGGAAACAGAGAUCUGAGUUCCAGAGUGAAGUUUCCAGCUAACAAACAGAACAGAAUGAAAAUAGCAAGGAGAAGGUAACCAUGGAGAAUUUGAUCCAGAUGCUUGAAGAGAAAGCUCUACAUUUGCAGGAUUCUGCCCUUUCCCUUGAGGGAGACACAGAGGAGAAGGGCUGUGGGAUCCUGAUGACCAGGUCUCAGGUGAGUUGGAAUUUCUUCUGUCUCUCCUGAAAAACCAUCUUGGGUCUCACUGAGUAGAAACAUUUCCUUCCUUUAUCUAGGAGCUUCCCUACCCAACAAAGUCCCAUCCUGGGUCCAGGAUCCUAACUCUUCUCCCUCAGGAAACUUAAACCUAUUCUGAUGUAUAAGGACUUGCUGAGAAUGUUGCCCAGCUUUCCCCCUGCACUCCUAAUAUCCUCUCAUUCAUUCAUCCAACUUGUUAUUUAGGCUUCCUGUGUGCUUAGUACUCUGAAUUAGGGCUUAUCAACAAAGCGUAUAGUCCUUGUAAGAUCAAACAGUUCUGUCCAAAUAGAGAGCUACUUUCCUUGACAUAUCUGUGAUUUCACUGGUGUGUACCCUCCUUCCAUUAGUGCAGAUUCCAACCUUUCUCAUUCUAGGGACUCUUAAGCACCUCUUUUCGUAAAUAUCCAUAGAAAAUCUACCCAGUGUGCUGAAGGCCUUCCUCUGGUUAUUCUACCAUCUCAGAGAUACCAAUGUAGCACUUGGGGUCUGGUCUAGUGGAAGACCACUGGAUGUGGAGUCAGAAGACCUGGUUCACAUCCUGACUCUGUUGCCUACCACCUGUGGGACCUGGGUAACUUACUUUCCUUUCCUGAGCCUCAGUUUCCUCAGUUCCAGUGAGGGGUUGAACUAAAUGAUUCCUAAGGCCCCUUCCAGCUCCUAAUCUUAUCAUCUCUUGUCUCUCAUUUUCACUAUCUGACUAGUCCACCUCCUUUUCUGAUCAUCCAUGCCCUUGGUGAAGUCUUCCACAUCUCAUCUCAGACACCAGGUGUGGUUGGUAAUAGUCUGCAGCCUACCUAUGCCUAUCAUGUUCUGAAAUUACUUGAAAUUUUAAUCCUCUGAAAUCAUGGUGGUCC